AUGUCCUGCAGUCAUUACUUGAAGGACAAUGGUGAUGUUGACGAGGAAAUUCCACCUAAUUUGUAAGGUGCAUUCAUCCCAUUCACUGCUCUGUUUCAUGGUAUGUUAAGCUUAGCUGGAAUUAAUCACUGUAUAGGCAGUGGAGAAUUAGUUCAGGUUUUUUUUUUCUAUUCCAGUCCGGGAUAAACUCCCCACAUCCUAGUCUUAUUCAUUAGAGUAAAAACUGUGUAUCAUAUCAGAUCAGGGCACCUGCUGCCAACACCUUAAGAUAUAGAAUCCUCAAUGAAGUAUUCUAGUCUUUACCUCUGGGUGGGUUUCUUUUAGACUAAUGAGAGUGAAAAGAUUAAGGUGAAAUGAUUUCUCAACACCUUUAUUUUGUUGGGUUGAGUGAUAAGGAGUGAGAACACACACACACACACACGCACACACACAAACACAAAAGAUUGCAUGUAUUAAAUGUGUGAUUCUUUAGUUAGGGGAACUUUUCGGCUGCCUGGUAUGCAUUUUAAAGAAAAAUGCUUUAAAGAUCAUUGUAGUUUUAAAUUGUUUUGAUUGUUGUGUCUUUAAUUUAGCUUUCUUUAUGUUUCUAUUUAUUAUUUUUAUGAUUAAUGUCCUAAUCAGAUUUUUUAUUAUGGUCAUGAACAAAUCUUCAGAAUGCUUGUGGCCACAUCAUGAGAAUGUUUUCACAUAGAUGAGAAAUCUUUUUUCAAGAUUUAAAGUAGUGUCCUUAUUUGUAAAAACAUCAUCCAAUUUGUGUUCAUGUAUGUGUGCAGUAUGUGUGUGUCUCCAGGUAAGGAGGUCUCUUGGUCUCAUCAGGACCGAGGGAGAGCAGCUGGGUCAUGCUGUAAUAGAUCAGCUCUUGCAGGCCAAAGUUGCAGCGCUGCUGUUGUGCUGAGAUCCACUACAGAAGAGCUCAGGCAACAUAAUGCAGUUAUCACAGACACUCUGAAAGCCCAGGAAAAACAAAUCAGUCUCCAGGAACGAAUCUGUCUUUCUCACUGUCAUUGCAUAUCUGUUUUCAUGAUUUUUUUGUGAUGUCUCUGAAGUACUUGUAAAGCAUCAACAAAUGCAUUUGUUGUUUCUUUAUUUAUUUUACAGGAUUAGGUUGUAAUCUUCAUAAAUCCUUAAUCUGUAUGGCAACUGUUGUGUGUAUGUGAGGCAAAUGUCAGGCAUUUAAAAUAUACAGAAUGAAUUUAGAGAAUGUUUCAUACAAAUUAAGAGACUUAUUUGAAUAGCGCAAUUUCCAGAAAAUGUGCUUAUAAAGUAGUCAAACUUCAUAGGAUUUUUUUUUUUUUUUUUUUUUGUGGGUUGGAAUGAAGUGUGACAUUAAAAUGCACCUUUUUCUGGCGUUGUUCUUUGUAGAAAUUAUGUGGUAUUGUGAUUAAAAACUCUGGAAUCUGCAAUUCAGAAUUGAGGCAAACACUUUUCACAGUCACCUGAAAACUGACACCCUUAAUUUGACCCUAGUUAAAUAUAUAUAAAUGUAUUUCCAUAUAUAUUCCACAUGCAUAUAUAUUGUUUUUUUUUUUGUUUUGUUUUUUUGUUUGUUUGUUUUUGAAGUUUGAAGUUGAUUUGGGUUAGUUCAUUCAACUCUGAGUAUGCUGAUUCUGAGUUAAACUCUAAAAAUCCAUAAUCAAUGGAACUCCGACAUUACGAUUCACCAUGACAACAGCACUCGACAAAAAGACGUCCAUAUCUUGCAAGUCAACACACUAUAAUAUCAGAGUUGUGGCCUAAUGGUUAGAGCGUUUGACUCCUAACCCUAAGGUUGUGGGUUUGAGACUUGGGCCGGCAAUACCACGACUGAGGUUCCCUUGAGCAAGGCACUGAACCCCCAACUGCUCCCCGGGCGCUGCAGCAUAAAUGGCUGCCCACUGCUCUGGGUGUGUGUUCACUGCUGUGUGUGUGCAAUUUGGAUGGGUUAAAGCAGAGCACGAAUUCAAAAUAUGGGUCACCAUACUUGGCUGCACUUUCACUUUUUUUCAUAAUUGAAUCAGGUAAGCAUAAAAGGUUCAUGGGUGUAGGCUACAUAAAUCUAUAAACAUUUGACAUAUUAAAUAAAUAUCAUUUAGUGUAUAUUUCA
ensembl:lncRNA